rnacentral:lncRNA from 1 species
UAAGAGUGGAAGGCUUUUGAGAAUGGCUUUUGAGGUGUUCGAGAUUCGAUAUGUAUCACUCAGGUGUUUUAAGGUUGAGUAUGCGACUAAGCCAGUGUUUUCUUUGGAACGGGUCAAGACUCGUGGUAUUUUUAUGUUGAUUACAGGAAUUCUAGGUAUCAGAAACUGGGAAGUAAUGGCAACUAAUUCAGGGUCGUAGGAAGUCCUUCGGGUAAGGUACUUGGGGAUGUGGUAUUUCUGAGGACGUUUGAGGAAGUAUUCAGUGGCCUAUGGGUCUUAAACAGCGUGGUCUGGUGUUCGGGUCUCAUGUAGUGAGCCUAGGUUGAGACAUUGUGGUGCUGCAGCAAGAGAGUAUAUCUAGUUGAAGAUGAAUCAGGUGGGAACUGGGUUGAGACAUUAUGCUGCUGCAGCAAGAGAGUAUAUGUAGUUGAAGAUGAAUCAGGUGGGAAUCUAGGCAAAUGAAGUAGCUUGUUAGUGGACUGGAUUCGGCAUGGUAAGGGUAUGGUUAGUUCUCAUUGUGUAUUUGAGAUAAUGGAUUAGCACAUGUAAUUUUUGCGGCAAUGUUCUUGUGUAUUGACGAUUCUCUUAGCGUGCUGUAAUUAAAAAGGAUUCAGUCACGGCGGUUUAGUUGUACAGAUGGAAUUGGGAGAGUUCUUAUUGAUUAAGACAAGGUUGAAGGGAUGCAUUUCUAAGCCCGUAAAUUGGCAUGAGGGCAUAAUAAUUUUUCUCCUAAAUGGUAUCAAUGGAAGUUCCAGACUAGUUGGGUGCGUCGAUGUCUG